rnacentral:rRNA from 1 species
CAGGACGAACGCUGGCGGCGUGCCUAACACAUGCAAGUCGAACGAAGCACUUUCUGUUGAGAUUCGUCAAGAACAGGAUUUGACUUAGUGGCGGACGGGUGAGUAAUGCGUGAGCAACCUGCCCUUCAGAGGGGGACAACAGUUGGAAACGACUGCUAAUACCGCAUGAUGUAUCCGGGAGGCAUCUCUUGGAUACCAAAGAUUAUAUCGCUGAAGGAUGGGCUCACGUCUGAUUAGCUAGUUGGUGGGGUAACGGCCUACCAAGGCUGCGAUCAGUAGCCGGACUGAGAGGUUGAACGGCCACAUUGGGACUGAGAUACGGCCCAGACUCCUACGGGAGGCAGCAGUGGGGAAUAUUGGGCAAUGGGCGCAAGCCCUGACCCAGCAACGCCGCGUGAAGGAAGAAGGCCUUCGGGUUGUAAACUUCUUUUAUGAGGGACGAAGGACGUGACGGUACCUCAUGAAUAAGCCACGGCUAACUACGUGCCAGCCGCCGC